CGCGCGAGCUCGACGCGUGCUGCGCCGCGGCGCAGCACGCGUCGAGCUCGCGCG
rnacentral:misc_RNA from 1 species